rnacentral:rRNA from 1 species
UACGGGGGGGGGCAAGCGUUGUUCGGAAUUACUGGGCGUAAAGGGCUCGUAGGUGGCCAACUAAGUCAGACGUGAAAUCCCUCGGCUUAACCGGGGAACUGCGUCUGAUACUGGAUGGCUUGAGUUCGGGAGAGGGAUGCGGAAUUCCAGGUGUAGCGGUGAAAUGCGUAGAUAUCUGGAGGAACACCGGUGGCGAAGGCGGCAUCCUGGACCGGUAUUGACGCUGAGGCGCGAAAGCCAGGGGAGCAAACGGGGAUUAAGAAACC